rnacentral:lncRNA from 1 species
AUCAUUAGAAUCAAAAUCAGUAGAACCACCUAUGGAGAAUGUUAGGAUUGAUCAAUCCAGCGAGCCAUAGGAAUAUAAACUUUAUAAGGAUUUCAUUGAAGUUUUUUUUUUUUUCUUUUUUUUCUUUUUUUUAUCAAUUUCGUGUUUGUGAAGACAUUGCAAAGUUAGGAGCGGGACUAUAUAGAAUGGAUAGAAAUUAGUUUUUUUAGGACAUUGAUUGGAUAUUAAUAAAAUUAAUUAAUCAUGUAUAGGGCAAUAAAUUCAAG